GUUCAUCUUAAGGUAGAUGGGGUGUCUAAAUUAUUAUCCAUAGAAUCUUUUAAUAAUUUGCCAAAAUGUAGUUUAUAUCCUGCUUGUAUAAAAACAUUAAUAAAAAGAAUGGGUCACCAGACUUAUUUUCACGCUACAGGUUGUUCAAAAUUGUCAAGAUUUUGUAUAGAUUAUGCAUGGAAAACCCAUUUUUCCGCCAUAAAAUGCAAACCACACCAUAGAAUUUUGAGAUAAAAUAUGAG
rnacentral:lncRNA from 1 species